AGUCUUCUGCUCUCCUGGACAGGGUGACAAUCAGCAUAAAAGCUCUUUAUAUCCUGCUGGAUGUAUAUCCUGGUAGAAAAGAAGCCAGUCUUCGAUGUUUUAAACCUUAAGCCAUCUCUUAGGAGCUACUAAUGUGACAAUAUCCAGCUACAGAAUGGAUUGACAACAUGAAGGAAUACCCACAACUUCUGCGAAACAGAAACAGAUUUUUUUUUAAAUCAGGAGUCUGAUUUUUCCACAGCCAUGGUUUGCCAAUUAGAGCUGCCCAUUCUG
rnacentral:lncRNA from 1 species